GUCCUUUCUACCCUCCCUUCCCAACAUGGAUUAGCCUGUGUCUAGGCCUGGAUUUACCCGUGUAGUUGUACAUGUCCUUUCUACCCUCCCUUCCCAACAUGGAUUAGCCUGUGUCUAGGCCUGGAUUUACCCAUGUAGUUGUACAUGUCCUUUCUACCCUCCCUUCCCAACAUGGAUUAGCCUGUGUCUAGGCCUGGAUUUACCCGUGUAGUUGUACAGGUCCUUUCUACCCUCCCUUCCCAACAUGGAUUAGCCUGUGUCUAGGCCUGGAUUUACCCAUGUAGUUGUACAGGUCCUUUCUACCCUCCCUUCCCAACAUGGAUUAGCCUGUGUCUAGGCCUGGAUUUACCCAUGUAGUUGUACAUGUCCUUUCUACCCUCCCUUCCCAACAUGGAUUAGCCUGUGUCUAGGCCUGGAUUUACCUGUGUAGUUGUACAGGUCCUUUCUACCCUCCCUUCCCAACAUGGAUUAGCCUGUGUCUAGGCCUGGAUUUACCCAUGUAGUUGUACAUGUCCUUUCUACCCUCCCUUCCCAACAUGGAUUAGCCUGUGUCUAGGCCUGGAUUUACCCGUGUAGUUGUACAGGUCCUUUCUGAGACUGGCUACACUGAACGCUAAUCUUAUUAGGGGUUCAAGUAUCGAAGCUGAGAGAAACCCUGUUGUAUUUGUUGGCGUUCAUUGUUAUACCCGUUCUUUCCGCAAGGAAAAUGAACAUGCAAAUUCCUGUGUGAUGGUAAGGCUGAGGAGGGUACAAUUUGGCAUGAUGGGAAAGGCCCAUAGUCCACACCGUCUCAUGCAAUGCCACACCAGGGCCUCAUGGUGAAGCUAUAUCAAGCGCUUAAAAUUUCACAUUUUGAAAGGUCAUGCCCCUUAUCCCAUGUGACCGAGAGUCCUGGAAUUCAGUACACGGGUUUCUCUCCUCACAUGGAACAAAUUUUCCUCAAGAUCCCAUAAGGUCCGCUAUGAUGGAUUUUCUGCCAUUUAGAAUUUUUUGAAAAACACUUAAAUUAAAUCUCCUCCGGAACCACUGGGCCGAUCAGGUUGAAACUUGAUUUAUAGCAUGUAUGGACCAAGGUCUCUCAACGCAAUAUUUUCCUGGCUAGCUUCUGAAAGAACACGGACCAAUAAACAUUCAAGUGGGCGUGACCUGGCACAUAAAUGCAUAAAAAUCUGACACGGUUAUUCGUAUUGUAACAACUUGCUAUACAUGUUCAAAACCCUGUCUGGACUUAACGUAUGCAAGCACAUUUAGAUCUACCACACAGUGGCUAUAAUGGACACAUAUUUAUAUCUCUUGAUCUGUUUGAGUUAGUCGUGAAAUUUGGCACACAUGCUCAGGGAGGCGAGUCUAGCUAACCUGUAGAGUAUGGUUCUAUUUGGCCGGAUGGAGGCGCUGUUGGACAUGAUAAAUAAUACAUGCGAGCUCAUUGGCUUAGCGGCCAUAUUGUUUGAGCUAGAGUCUUAUUUGAAGACGUGUCUAUAGAUGCUAAAUACCAAAUUUGGUGCUGAUCGGUUCAGCGGUUCUGGAGAAGAUGUUUAAAGUAGUCAACAUUUGAAAAGGUCCAAAAUACAUCAAAAGCAUGUUGGAUUUUGAGUUCUGAUAUUUGGAAAGCGUGGGAAGGAGUACAGAAGUGGCUCGCCCUAGGGUGACUUGUUUAAUUUGCUCUGGGGCCAUAGCUUGAACCCCGGCAUGGCUGCUUGCAGCUAUAUGUUAAACUGCUCUCGGUCAGGUUUAUAAUUUGAGCAGGGAACUCCAUUCCCCACCUCCAUAACUUAUUUUUGAUACACAAUCCUUUAUUGCAUCUGAGAACUGAGUUGUGCUGCAUAAUUGAAUUUGUGAGCAGUUGCAUUGGGAGUUGUACAAAGUCUUCUUCAGGUUCCAGAGAACGUUUUUCUCUGAUCUUUCCUCUGAGGGUCACACCAUUCCUUAUGCAUGAAGUCACAAGAGCCAUGUGUCAUUUCACUUCCAUCAUUCUUCUUUCUCUCCCUCUUUCUGUAUCACUACUGCUGUCCUGAAAGUGUCCCGCUGACUAUUUCACAUUCUAUGUCACCCAAUUCAUUCCACUCAGCUUGUCUUCAUCCAUAAGUGAAAAGAAUAGAGGUUCUUUAUGCAACAUCUUGCUACUUUGCCAUAUGUUUUUUUACAAAAAUGUUGCAGUCAAAUAUUUUGUUUUGAAAUUAUUUGUAAAGUUCAGUAUUUGUGUUUGUGCAUGAGAGUGGUUACAUGGUUACUGUGAACUAUUUAUGAGAAGUGAAAAUAAACUUUAAAAGACAUGAAUAGGUUCAUAUUGCACAUGCAUUUCUCCCACACGUAUGAGAGCACAUGAAGUAUAUACUGUAUGUUAAUAUGUAUGUACAGUAGUUGAUGAUGUUGCAGAAGAUACUGCUGUAUAGUACUGUAUGUAUGUGUCUGGUAACAUGGAGAGCACAGACUUAGUUCUUCCCAAUGACUCCAGUUCCUGUGCGGACACACACACUGUUACUGCAAGCAGUGUCCUUCCAGUUUUAAUCAGUUGUACUGUGUGUGUCUGUUUGUGUAUGUAUGUACAUAUGCUAUUUUAUUGAAAUGCUGUGUCAGAGAUGCCUGUUUCUUUUUUUAUGGUUCUAUUGGGCACAACCCAUACAGCCACUUACCACUGAAAUCUUGAAUUGAAAGUGUCCAAUUAGCUGGCACAUUGCCUCUGUCUACCCAGGGUUCUCCCCAAAGAAUGUAAUAGAGGCGCUGUGCCACCUUGUGGACUAGCUGCGCCACUAUGUAAUAUUGAGUUUUUAAGUCAAAUAAAAAUAAACAUAGUUCUUUAUUUGUUAUCAUAUACGAUUUUUUUGGGGGGGUCUAGAUUGCAGUAAAUGGCAGUUACAAGUGUUAAAAAAUGCCAAAAUUCCUGGGGCGAACCCUGCUACCAUGGUAACAUUUAUGAUGCAUUAUCAAGGAAAAGAUACUGUGUAAAUGUGUGUAUUUGGUGUGGCACACAGAAGCACAGUACCUCUGUACUGUAGAGAUGGCUCUGCAAUGUUUCUCCCCAGUUUACACCCUUGCUGCUUUCAUUACAAGAUGAGGGUUUAGUUGACGUUUUUCCUUCUCCGCUGUACAGUAGAUCUCAGAAGGCAGAACGAUGGAUUUGCUUCCCAGGUGCAAGGCCAACAUCUCUGGACAGCAGGGCUGUCCUAUGGUGUGUGUGAAUGUGUGUGCAAUAAUGUAAUAUGCACACUGUUUAAAAUGUGAGUGGUAAUCUGGUCCCUUUUAAAAAUGUAUGCCAACCUCUGUUGUGGGGUGUGUUCAGUUUGGCGUCUGAUGCUGCACACAGUGCAGAUGGCGGUCCUUAGUGGUAUAUGAGUGUGUGAGCCAUUAGUCCACAUCCAUUUAGGUUUGAUUUAUGGACACACAAGUGCCUUAGCCGGGAGACCAGAGGUAUAGAGCUGUGUGUGUGUGUGUGUGUGGAGCUGCCAGUAUUGCAUAGGUUUUGGAUGGAAGGGUAGGGUAGAUGCAUGAUGGGACACUCUGUGGCAACACUUCCCUUUCGCUUUAGUAGAACAAUGGCCCUGAAUUUAGUCUCAGUUCUUUCAUUGUUGUUAUUUCUAGUAAUAGACUUAGAUGUGAAACAGGAAUCUGAAACCUGGUGUUCCUUUUUUUUAACCUUCUGGUACAUUCUUUGAUUUGAAGAGGAAAAAAACUGAAUCUCCUCUUCUCUUCCUUAUCACGUUCACACAUGUCCAUCAGGGUUGCCGAGACGGGAUCUUGACUCCAAACUUGUUUGUGCCCUUUAAAUGUGGAAGAAGAUCAAAGUUCUAUCCAUGGGUGUUGUCACUAAAUAUAGACACCAUUGAAGCUGUUAAAAGAUACAAAAUGAGAAUCAGAAUGUCUUUUAUUUAUGUGUGUCUGUGAUCUUAUGUAUUGCACUUUUGGGAGAAACAGAAGUGAUACAGUGGAAUCAUCCGCAUUGUGUCAUACCGAUAGAUGAGUGUUCCUAUCACUAAUGGUUUAUGAAGCUUCUCAUAGGCUUAAAGUCAAACCAAUUUGGCAAAGAUCACAGUGAUAGGUUGCUCCACAGAUUUUUGUUAAAGUUUAUCUUUUUUUAUAUUGAAGUAUGCAGUCAUUUUUUUGUACUGUAAUUUUGCUGUAGUUUGAAUGCAUAUUGCACUUUUUUUUAAACAUUUGUUCAAAUAAUGUACUGUAUCUGUUUAUGAAAUUAAAUGUUUUUUCAUGCUA